AAUUUUCUUAGAGUAGGGGCGAUACUUCAGAAGCACGAGGAGACUUAGCAACGUUUCAGAACUGAAGGGUUACCCUGUGUUCCUGUGUCUGAAGUUCUUCCUGCUGCUACAACCAAGCUACAACUAAGGAGUAACAUAUUUCACAGGUUCUCUAGCUUCAACACCUUUCCAGAGAGCCAGUUGUCAAGCAUCUUCAGCACACCAAUAUAAACAACAUGUCAUGCUAAGCAAUGACUGUUCUUGGGUAAGAGAAUCUAACAGGGGUGCCUGGCUGGG
rnacentral:lncRNA from 1 species